rnacentral:rRNA from 1 species
UACGUAGGGGCAAGCGUUGUCCGGAAUCAUUGGGCGUAAAGCGCGCGUAGGCGGCCCGGUAAGUCCGUUGUGAAAGUCAAAGGCUCAACCUUUGAACGCCGAUGGAUACUGCCGGGCUAGAGUCCGGAAGAGGCGAGUGGAAUUCCUGGUGUAGCGGUGGAAUGCGCAGAUAUCAGGAGGAACACCAUAGCGAAGGCAGCUCGCUGGACGGUACUGACGCUGAGGCGCGAAGCGUGGGAGCGAACAGG